rnacentral:misc_RNA from 1 species
UGGGAUUCAGGAUGUCAUGGUAUAUAAACAUUUAAGUUUGAAUAGAAUACGACUAGAUCUUCUGCUUGAGUCGUGUGUGUGGGAUCGUCGUCUUCAUUCGUUGCUAUCUUCUUAUUAUAUGGAUGGUGAUUCCAAAGCCAUUAACCCAAAGCAAUCAACACUGCCAGAUAUUGAACCUAUUAGCCAGAAGGAGAAACUAGGAAAGUACAGUGGUGAAAGAGAUGCUAA